GACGAACGCUGGCGGCGUGCUUAACACAUGCAAGUCGAGCGGUAAGGCCCUUUCGGGGUACGACGAGCGGCGAACGGGUAGAGUAACACGUGGGUGGACCUGCCCUCCAGCUCUGGGAGUAAGACCUCGGGAAACCGGGGUACCGUAUAACCGGACGUAUGACUCCACUGACGCAUGUUGUGGGGUGGAAAGACCUUGUGCGGCUGAGGAUGGGCCCGCCGGCCUAUCAGCUUGUUGGUGGGGUGAUGGCCUACCAA
rnacentral:rRNA from 1 species